rnacentral:rRNA from 1 species
AUGGAUGCUCACCACGUCAGCAUAGAGGAAAUUGAAGAAUAUUACACGGUGGUUAGUCAAACAUUCACAAGCGAGGAACAAGGUUUCGAGUUCUAUAAUAGAUAUGCUAAAGCCAAAGGGUUCAGCGUGAGGAAGGCCAAUGUGAAAAACAAGGGAGGCAUAAGAAUCCAAAGGUUGUACAUGUGCAGCAAAGAAGGAUAUAGGUCCUUGAAAAACUUUGAAAGGUCCAACCGGAAAAGGAAACCAAGGGCACUCUCUCGUUGUGGAUUUGACGCUCGACUGCAAAUCGAGCUCAAUAUGGAAAGCCGUGAAUGA